GGAAAUUUAUAGCAUCGGCAUUAUUGAAAAUAAAAUUCAAACAUAUGAAAACAAUGCCGCACAACAUUCUCACCAUAUGAUGGUAGAAAACUUAAGAGGUAAAUGGAGGGUGGAUGCAUGGUAUAUUGCCUUGUGACAUUCAAGUUCAAUUAUUUCUUGUUCAAAAGAUGAAAAUAAUAAUGGGGAGAGUUUGCAUGUGGCGGAAGUGGAAAAUGGAAUGGUUGCAUGCAUGCCUGAUGAUGUGGUGGAAAGUGAAAGUGAAAAGUGGAUUGGUUGUGUGCGCUUGAUGAUGUGGAUGACUUGCAUGUGUUUUAAGUAAUCUCACCACAACUCAAAGUAGUGCCAGUAAAUUUGCAAGUCACAAGACUAUAGUAUAAAAGAGUGAAGGGAGUGUAUGCAUCUCCUUUGUAGUUGCAAGGGUAAAAAGUGGUAGAAGAACCAUCAUGCUAAUUGAUGAAUGCACUAUCUCAAGAAUGCAAGAAGAUAAUGUGACACAUCUAUUACUGGUAGAACCAGGGGUCCUACCGGACCUGCUCCGGAGGUUGUAGGGGAAGGAUGGAGCGGGGCGAGGUGACGAGCGUGCGCGCCGGCGGCUGGGCGCCGUCGCGUAGGAGGGAGAUGGCGGCGGCGGCUAGGGUUGGAGGCGGCUAGGGUUCCGGCUCCUCUGGGAGCCGGGCAAUAGGGAUACUAAUAUUCUUAUUGCUUAAUCUCAAAAAGAGUCUUACAGCAUAUAUUUAUAACCUAGAUAACUUGCAUACGAAUUAACCUAAGAUAACUUGUGGGCUAAGAUCGCCCGGUGGGCCUUCUACGGCCAUAAGUCAGGCCGGUCAUAACAUUUCUCCCCGCCUGCACAAACAGCUCGUCCUCGAGCUGUAAGGUGGGGAAGCGCUUGCUGAACUCCUCGAGGUGAUUAACCAGCGUCAAACACCUGCGCGUCAGCUGAGGCGGCCAGGUCGGCGGCGACGGUGUCCUCCGGAAUGUAGUCUGCAACCUCCUGGUAGAAGAGUCGCGGACAGACGUGGCCGGGCAUGUAAGGCUCGUCGCAGUUGAAGCACAACCCUUGGCGGCGACGCUCGAGUAGCUCGGACGAGGUGAGCUGGCGGAACAGGCGCGCCGCGGUCGCGGUGAGGGGUGCCGCGGAAGCCUGAGCAGGCCGACCCUGCGCAGAAACAUCCGGCCAGGGUAGUGACCCAGCGGCCCGGGACGGUGAUUCCUGUUGGAUGGCCACCGCGCGGCGCUCGAACGCGCGUGCGUAGUACAUGGCCAUCUGGAGAUCCUGGGGUCCCCGAAGCUCCACGUCCACGCGGAUGUGAUCCGGAAGUCCACCGACGAAGAGGUCGGCCCGUUGCUGCGCCUUCACGCCCGACGCGUGGCAUGCCAGGGCCUGGAAACGAUCGGCGAAGUCCUGAACCGUGGAGGUGAAGGGAAGGCGGCCUAGCUCUGCCAGGCGGCUCCCGCGGAUCGGUGGCCCAAAACGAAGGAGGCAGAGCUCGCGGAAGCGCUCCCAAGGGGGCAUGCUGCCCUCGUCCUGCUCGAGGGCGUAGUACCAUGUUUGUGCCGUGCCGCGGAGGUGGUAGGAGGCGAGCCAGGUACGCUCCGAUGCGAGGGUGCGCUGCCCGCGAAAGAACUGGUCGCACUGGUUGAGCCAGUUGAGAGGGUCCUCCGUGCCGUCAUAAGUGGCGAAGUCAAUUUUGGCGAACCGCGGCGGUGUCUGGGUUGGAGCGACGUGUCGGACUGGCUCGAAGGUGCGGAGCAGCGAGGCGGGCGGCGCCUGGUCGGAGUACCCCGGGUAGGGGCCCGUGGAGCCGGAUGGCCCGCCAAACUGCAGGGACGGAGUCGGCUGUUCCGGAGCCGUGGUGUAGACCGGUGGUGGCGAAGACCCGGCCGCCCAAGCUGGUAGUGGCGACGGGGAGGGCGGGAACCGGACCUGGUGUAUCGGCAGGCCGGACGGUGACGGCAGUCCGGAGCUGGGCAGAGGUGGCGCCUCGAGGUGCAGCGGCUGCUGCGGAGAGUGGGCGGACGCGGCGAUAGCCGCGGUGGCAGUAGGUGGCCACUGCGGCCAGAGAGGAACCGCGGCUGGGGGCGGCUGCAGGUGCAGCAGCGGCGGUGGCAGCCCGCUGUGGUGCCCCGCCUGGAACGGCAGCAGCGGUGGCCCGCCAAUUGCAGGCGCGCCCUGGGACGGCCACGGCAGCCAGAGCUAGGCGGCGGCUGGGGGCGGCUGUAGGUGCAGCAGCGACGGGGGCCCGCUGGUGUGUCCCGCCUGGAACGGCAGCAGGGGCGUCCCGCUCGGGCCAGACGCGUUCUGGAUCGGCCAGUGCAGCGCCGGAUGGCUGUAGGCGGGGGGCGCAGCCGGCGGGGUGGCGUGCGGGCCGGCCAGGUACAGGGUGAUGCCCUGGACGGCCGUCACGAGGUCCCGCAAGGUGCUGGACAUCUCCUCCGGCGUGAAGACGGGGAUCGUCGACGGCGCGGAGGUGACUGGGGCCGGCGGCGCGGAGGUGAUCGGGGCCGGCGGCGUUGGGGACCCGGCCGUGGUCAUCAGGGCGGUGGUGAUGAUGGACAGCAGCGGCGUGGGUGGGGAUGACGACAUGAUCAAACCUGAGUCUCUGGAUACCAAAUUGGUAGAACCAGGGGUCCUACCGGACCUGCUCCAGAGGUUGUAGGGGAAGGAUGGAGCGGGGCGAGGUGACGAG
rnacentral:lncRNA from 1 species